AUAACUUCUUGGCCUUCUGACUAAGAUCAAGAGGAGUCCUGCUCUUGUCGGGUUAAUAUCUGAUGCACCCCCAUCUAAGAUUGAUAUGGUAAGUGUAUUUACAGGAGGAAAAUGGAGUAGCCUGCUCUGUCCACUCCACACAUAGGCUUGGUACUGCCGUACCUAGAGGAGCUGUGUAUAGCAC